UUAACUAUUUUAUAGUACUCAGACGACACUAAUAUUCAGAGUUUAAAGAUCCUCUGGCGGUUAUCCAGGCAAGUUAACGUCCGGAACAAUCCGCCAAAGCAACAGAUAGUUAUAUUUACAAGGGUGGAGAUCUACCCAGAAGGGCAUGAACUCUGUAAUGAUCCUUCCGCAGGUUCACCUACGGAAA
rnacentral:misc_RNA from 1 species